UGGGCGCCAGGACCGGGGCGGAGCGGCGCUGCCUGGCCUCACUUGUUCCAUCUCUCCCGGCGGGCGAGGGAGGCGGUGAAGUCCUGCGAAUGGAGCGGGCGGAGGAGUGACCGCUUCUAUCGGAGGGAGGAAGAACAGAGCGGUAAAAGCUGCCGCCUCGCUGCGCUUUUCCGCCGCCGGAGCCGUUUGAUUCCGGCCCUCAAACCCCGCCACGGAGACUCUUGAUUUACCAGAAUGCUGACCCUGAGGGUCUGUGAGACCUCCUGAGUCGGUCAGCGAUAGUGUCGAGGACAAGCUUUCGCAAGCCGAAGAAUCGGGCAGCAAGGACUACUAGGCAUACUUCAGAUGAUGGCAGUGAUUUUUGGUGAGAACAACUGUUGGCUUCAAACACCUUCAAAAAAGUUAAUCUGAACCUAAAAGCUGUAAUAGCCAGAAACUUAAAGGUGCAAAACUUAAUAUCCAGCAUAAACAGAACAAACAACUGGGGAUACAAGCAUCAUAACGUCACCCCAGGACAGACAUGCAGCAGCAUGGCAGUAAAAUUCAGAGGUUAUCAAGUGAGAGGACCAUUGCCUGAUGAAUGCUUUGGGAAACCCUCUAACCUAACUAGUCAAUAACCUAAUAAAUCCAUGACCCUCUCAUACCUAUGUUCUGCAUUACAAAUGCUAGCUCAUAUUCUCUUUCUCUGUUGAGAUUACAUUUCUGAUUUAAACCUAAAUCACGAAAUGUAGUAUGUGAAUUUGAUGGACAGAUGCAUAAUUGAAAGGUCACCAGCUCCUAUCAAACAGAAAAGCACAGCUUUUUGAAUUUAUUCAUAAAAUGUAUACAACACACACACACACACACAAAAAGAGCUCUGUAUUAUUUCCUUGGAAAAUUUGAAGCUUGAAAUGGUACGUUCUGAGUGUUCCUCAUCUACAGAUGUUUUUGUAGGACCUUAGGCUUUGUGGAAGAGAAAAACCUGAAACUAGAAACUACAAUAAGUCAUUUUUUCCUACAUUAAAUUCUUAGUUACUACAGAAAAUGGUAAGGGGAUUUAUUAGCUGAAACUCUGAUAAUGGGUUGCAAUAAUACUAGUCUGGUAAUUACAUGAUAACUGGAUAUUUUCUAGGGGAAUUUUUUUACUACAGCAAGGUCUUUUGUUAUGUAAAUUUCAAGGUACUUAAUCAUCUCCUGUUCUUCACAGGAAGUGCCUAACCUGCAUUUUAGAAUGAGAUUAAAUAAUACUUGUAUUUAUGAUUCAAUCAUAUAUAGAUUGGUGGCAUUUUAAAAACUCAGUGUGAAUUUUUGUGCUUUUGAAUUGGUAUCUUUUGUGAUACAUUGCUGUGUGUCUAGUAUUGCUCCAAUAAUACAAAGUGGCAUCCCACACUAAGCAGCAGUAUCCAAAUUCUGAAGACAUGUAUGACAACUCUGCAAAACUCUAUCAUAAGCCUUCUAAAUGGGAUUUAAAUGCUUUAGCAUCUGAACAAGUUUGAUUGAAACAUAUUGCAACAUACCAACUGCUUACUCUAAACCCUGCAGAAGUCUUGGGGAAGAUGUCUCAAACUACACUUUUACACACAGAAUGUCAAAAUCCCAUACUCAGCUGAAUGAUACCUUAUUUCUAGAGGGUUAAUCUGAUCCCAGCAGAUUUACUUGUAAAGUUAAAAGAAGCAGUUGAAAGUGAAGAUAUGCCUGUCCCUUUUUAUAUUCCUUAAGUACACCAGAUAACAUAGAUUAGAAAGAGAAAUAUGACAUCAUGGUGCUGUCUGUAAAAGAUAAACGUAUACUUGCAAGAGGCACUGGUUACCGUAGAUAAUUAAGAAUAAAGGUCUGUUCCAAAUUCAAUCUAUAACAAUCAUUAAGGUAUUUCUUUGGGAAAGGGUAUAAAUGAGCAUAAAUGUAAAAGACUAUUCUCAUGCCAGUCAAGAUUUCUCUAAUUGUCAGUAACACCAGCUUAUACAUGCCUGCCAUCUCAUUCCUUGCCUUUUGCUAGCUUCAGUGCUUGUCAGACCAUCUCCUUAGUCAUUUCUGCAUGUUCAGUCUGCAGAAAACUAACUUGGCAAAAGAAGAAGAAAUUUCUGCUGACUUACUGUGCUGAGUUUCCCCUGAGAAUCAGAGCUGCUGCAAUGGAGGCAGUCAGGAGCUGGCCAGUUUUAUGUUGCAAGUUAUUUCAGACUGUCACAAACAUACAGCCUUCAGUGAGCAAUUUGUGUAACUUUUAAACUCAAGUUAUCUCACUGAGUGCUUCUUCAAGCUCAGCUAACAAGCAAUUCUGUUGCUGGAAGUAUUUUUACAAUCUCAACUAUCUUAGUUCCUACCGAUGCCUGAAGUCUUUAGACUUCAGCCUACUGAUGCAUAUUGUCUUUAGCCAAUCCAACCUAAUUUUUAAAAUGCUGUCUAAGAUUGUAGAUUUCUGGAAGUCACAAAAAAGCCAUGGGCAUAAAUUAUGAAUAUGGCUUUCAAUACACUUACCCACAUAUUCAACUUCAAAUACUUUAGGAAAUACAUAGGAAUUUGCUAGCAGCUAAUUAUUUCAAUCCAGUUA